UGAAGGUGAGGUUAUCUCUCUGGAGAUCCCUGUCUACCUGAGGCUUUCCAAAGGUGCAUUGCAGGAGGACCUGGGCAGGCAGCUGUGCUGUGCCAGGCGAGUGAAAGCCGCAGAGCCGUGGUAGCAGAGUGCUCACCCCGUGCUGCUCUGCUGGUUGGCAGAGCUUACUUGGAGUGCAGCAUUAGCACAGUGACGCCGUUUUUGGAUGAGAUCUCCCAUACCUCUUUGUUUGCAGUAUAUGAUGUGAAAAUGCAGGACCCAAAUCUCGAGCAAGACCUGCAGAUAUUGGGCAGCUGGGACGCUGCGCUGCCCACUGUCCAUGUGGGCUUUGGAGCAGGCUUGUGGAGUGACAAAUGUACACCUGAGGAGCAGAGGGAGGAAGCUGAUUUUGGGCAGUGCGGGACAGAGAAGAAGCACCAGCUGGUGGAAGCAUAAUGCAGAGAUGUGAAAGUACAGGAGUGCUUCCCCAGAUUCUCUGAGAUGCCAGAGCCUGCACCUGUCGGAUUCAGCCCCGGGGCUCGUGCUGCUGCCCAUGCAUCCUGCACGCGGCUGUCAGGGUGCUGCUGCCCUGCAAUGAGCCUCUUGCAGUCUGCUUGGUGGCAGCCGUGUCAUUUCUGUAAGUCAUUCAGUGUUCAUUGCAGUAAUGGCUUGAGCUUGACUGUUUUAUGUUCCAAGUACUACUUUGACCCUUGGGCUAUAAUAUCAGCCCAGUGAUUAUUCAGUUUCUUUUAUGAAGUGCCUGAGUGCCAACAGGAAAGAGCACAAGCAUCCCUGUGCAGCCUGAUGUUCAGAGCGCUCAUCUGGGAUGUCUGAGCAGGGCAGUACAGUGCUUGGACAUAGAUCACUUGCUAUCCCAUGGUAGCUGUGACUGGUUUAAUAAUACAGGAGUUUCUGCAGUACCAAUUAAUGAGGUCACCUUUGGUGGAGGUUGGUUUGUUUGUUUUUAGUGUUUGUAUUUGUAUAGUUAGAUCAAGCUUUUAGAUGAUCUAUUCGGUUUCAUUACCACCAAACAUGCAUGAAAUACUGUAGUACGUAUCAUCAUUUCAAAAUGUGAAGCAUCUGAGCAAUGGAGUUUAAACAAGUACGGACUAUAACUGGGAAGUUUCCUGGGGAAAAUAAUUCCUGAAGAGAGAAGGUUUUCGUGCUCAAAACUCAUUCCAGCAGGAAGUGCAGCUCUGUGCCAAGGCAGGCCAGGCAGCGGCGAGGCCUGGCUGUGGAUGAAUUUCCAACUCUUACCAAUUAUAAUAUGGAAAUGAGAUCCACCUUUCUAUUGUCAUUUUUACCACAGAAGUGCAAACCCAGGAUAUGAUUUCCUAUCACAACUGCUGAAAACAUGUUUCUGUGGCACUCCUUUUCUGAAUCGUUAAGCCCUGGGUAUCCUAGACUUUGCUGUCCAUUUCAAGAACUCCUCCUUACAUGAAGUGUUCACAGGCGAUUGCUGAGCUGCAUCCUACAGUGGCAGAGAUCAAAGUAUGCAGAGUAACUGUUGGUUCACUGUUCCUUGUUGGAUAAUUUCCCCGCACAAGAAGCUGAUCUCUUUUUUGCACAGGAUUGAAACAGCCAUUUUCUGAAGUCACCAUGUGUGGUCUAUUCAAGAGCUGCAGAAUUACUGUAAUAAUUCAGGAUACUGAGUUCAGGAUGCUGUUCCAUCCAUUGCAACUGAAAGAAGGAUGGUGGCUGGGAGAGAACUUUCACUGUGUGGUCUUAAAACCUUGCAGAUCAGUUGAAGAGUAAUGUGUUGCACGCUUCCAGUUUUGAUGCACUAGUCAGGAAGAAUGUGAAAGAUAAAGAUCAGUGACAAAGCGUGGUUGGGUGAAUCAAUAAACCACAGGAUAUUUCAGAUUCUGGAGCAGUAAGAAACAGAACGGCUAUACGUGGGUGGCAUGGGAAGGGUAAGUAUUCAGAGAGAUCGACACUUAAGGUGUUCAUAUGCCAGAAUGUAGACACAGAACUGAAAAGUAAUGAAAUGGUAACAGAAAACCUCAAACUGAAUUGGAAAGGCCAAGGAAAAGGUAGACGGGGGGGGGGAAGAGACGAGGCCCUAGCACAUCCUUAAAAUUACUUAAUGUGAAGUGUCUGUCUUUGCUGUUUACUCUAUGGGACUGCUGAAGUUAAAGAAGCUCUUAACCUGAAAUAUUUCAUUCUUUCCCCCUGCUCAGUGCCCUCAUUGACUCUUACUGAUGUUCUCAUUUUAAACAGAUGUCCCUUGUGACAGAAAGUUGUGAUCUGAUUUUUGCAUUGGACAGGUUCAUGUUCUGCCAUUGCUUUCUAUGAAGGUACCAGAGAUCCAAUCUGUGACUCACUGAACUGAGUGGUGGCCAAUACUCAGGUUCUAAAUCUGUAAUCACUAUAUUCACUGAAAGCUUUCAAUGCUUUCAAGGAGGGAAAAGUCAUGAGAGGAUGAUCUUUCUCUUUGUAACAGGUGACUAGUACUUGGGAGCACUCAAACUGCCUGCCUUGGCUAGUACAGCUGGCGGUGAGGCUCUCCGGUAAUAGUUCAAAGGAGAGGCUCUAGUAUUUUGUGACUAUUAGGGACAUUUUAAAAAUAAAAUAAUUUCAGAGUAGAUGGAAGUUGCUCCCGCGUUCAGCUGGGAUUCAGAAUGGUAGUGGUGCAGUCACAGAUAGGCCAGAGGUUGCUGGGAGCAUUGCCCAUGAUACGGUUGAUUUGUUGUGGUUGAACUGGUGAUGCCUUAUGAGGAAUUUUAUUUCUGGAGCUCUUUAGUGAAACCAAAACUCACCAAAACAAAAAUCUUCAGCACCUUUUAAGUGGAGUCCUAGUAAAUCCUAGUAGCUUGUGAACUGGGGUGAUGAUGCUAACUGGAUAUCAGAUAGCAGGCUGAGUUCACAUCUCAGGGUUGGGUACACGAGCAGCGAAAGCUUAAUUCACCAUGUUAUUAUCACGCUGCCUUCUAUUUCAGAAGUCACUUUCCUUUGUUCACAUUACAUUCAAAUUCAUGUCUUAGUAUGCAGUGCUCCAAUUAGUUUGUGGUCCAAAUGUACCUUUCAGGGCCAAACCAGAUGGAGGACCACGGGCCUCGGUGCUCUCAUGCCAAGCAGAGCGGUGGGAGCAGUGGUUUUCACACGCGUCCACUGAACACUGCAGCUCUUGUACUGGGGGAGUAGAAAAUGUUACCUGGUCACUUCUGUUCUCUACAGACUGAUGAUCACUAAAAUCAUAGGAUGUGUCAUCCACAUCACCUCGUAAAGCAGGAAUUUCUUCGAGACUGUACCAAUCUACAUUGCUCCUAGAGUCUGUGCUUCUUUCCUACAUUGAGCUGAAACUUUCUUAAGUUUUCACUUCGUUUGUCAUAUGAAUUUUCUGUGAGCUGGAAGAGAGGAUGAGGUUCUGUUUGUUUCUUUGUUUGUUGGUUUGUUAUUAAAUCUACGGUCCAUCCUAUCCCUGCUACUCAGCUCUUUCAGUGGAGGAAGCCCACAGUAAUUUUCCAUAAUGCUUUUCAUACCAGCUUGCUUUGUUGACUAUUUUGUUUAUUGGAUUUCUUACUUUAAAAUCUGUUCCCUUAUUGGCUUCUCUUUAAUUUCCUCCUCUUUUGCUGAGCUGCAUGAAGGUAAGCAGAGUCCUAAAGCUAUUCUACCCUAAGUUCUGGUAUUUUAUAUAUAUAAAACUUCAGGGCUGGUGGCAAUGAUACCUGGGAUUAUUUAUGGGCUUUCAUAAAAAGAAAGAGGAAAAUACAGAGCUGCAUGGCUUCUCUCUUCCUUCCCCUUUUCCCAACCCCCUCCCCACUGAGGAGUUUAAUUUUAAAUGAUAAAUGUGGAAAUUAGAGACCGUCGAGAAAAUCCAAUUUGGUGAGGAGUUUUAAAAAUCCCAUAAUAAACGCAGAGUGAAAUGUAUGAUUUAAUGCGGGGCGCCAAUGGCUGCUAUUAUGUGCUAUUAGCAAAUCGGGGUUGAGAGUGAAUCUUUAUCACUUGGUGAGUGCGGGCUAGGCCUGCCUUUGCUUCUGCUAUUGAUUUGUAGCCGCUUGUCAUAAUGACAUCGGGAAGCAAUGAAUGGAAGAUGUGCUUUUGAUAGGAUUGAAGGGGUGCAAAGGGGGGAGAAAAAAUUCAGCAAGUUUUCUAUCUCUUCUGCCUGAUUAGAUUUUUUUUCUUCUUUUAAGAGCUUUCACAUUCCAAUAAAAAUGCUAAAUCAGCUCUGAAGCAGAAUUGUUAGGGAGUAAAUAGCUAGUCACAUUUAAAAGAGGAAAAGAUCUGACUUUACAGCUCUGACUUUACAGCAGUAGAUGAAUCUAAAGAAUAUUUCUGGCUCCACAAAAAUGAUAGCGGUGGGCACGAGGGUGGCUGAGAGCCGUGCAAGGGGAUCUGCUGUGAUGGCACUGCAGACAGCCAGACACAGGGAGGUGGUGUGUACGCAUGGUGUGGCUCAUCAGAAUACAGGCAAAUUAAAUCUCUGACGUGUCUGUAUUGAAGAACAGGAAAAUAAUGAUUCUUCAUCUCUGAACCAAAGGUACCUGGAAUGAAAAACCCAGACUUUGCUUUGGAGUAGCAAAGAAUAAAGAUCUCCUUUACAUCUGGGAAAGGAAGACAUUUGUCACUUUAAUAAUAGAUAUUUCUCAUCAGAAAUCUGGAGUUUUGAUUGAAGGGAGCACAGUUGCUGCGCUGUUUGGAUAAUGUGGGUUCUAAGGAAACAGGGCUGCAGCAUAGCAAGCCCAUUCCUGGGUCUGGAGCACAUGGUGAAUAAGACAAAAUCCAUGUGCACUCCGGAGUGCAUCUGUGUAUGAGCCGUGAAUGAAUCUACUUGCAAAGGCCCCAUGAAUUUGCAUUUCUUAUCAGAAGAUCCUUGCCAUUAUAAUUUCCUGCCUCUCCAUCAUUCUACCCUCCCUGGGAAGGGGGGGAUGUGUGCUUACCAAGGAACAGAGCUCUGCUUUGAGUUCCUCCUUAUGAAAGUCCAUGCACAUCUUCUCUCAUUAUUAUUAUUACUGUUAUUAUGAUUACUCUGGUCUGCUGUGGUGAAGAGCCGUAGGUGAUUAAGGGUUGUGACUCUGGUCCUCAGUUCCUUCCUUUCACCCUAACCAGCCUCGGCUAUUCUUAUUUAUGGAAGCCUUCAUGGGACAGCUGAAUGAGCCUGGUUUACAGGGCUCACUGGCAGAGUAUGAAAUGGCAGAUUAGAAAUCAAUGCAGAGAGUCCAAGUGCCUACUUCAUCAUUCAGGAGAAAGAAAUACAGUAUUUCUGGUCUAAGCCUUGCACUCAUUAAAAUCACAUCCUUUAAAAAACCUUUUAAAUUAAAACAGUGAUCAGUAGGAGUGAGGAAAAUCAUAUGCAGAGGGAAUUUUCUGAGGGAGGACAGGCUGAAGGCAGUGUGCGGAUGAAAUAUGGUGUUUACCACGCUGCCCAUUGGCUGGACUGCGCACUCUAGGUGCAUGGGGUGCUUGCAUUCUGUGGAAGAUUGUCAUCUAAUGGUACCAUCAGAAGGUGCCGUGGGCAGCAGGAAACACCUGGAUGAUGGAACCGAAGGCGGACUGCUGGCAGAUGGAAUGGGUGGUGCUGCCUGAUGGCGUUGAGUCGGGAGCAUGAGGCACAGAGCACAGCAGUGGGGGGAGACUGUGGCCACAGCAGCAUGAUGCUGUUCUGACCCUGGGGCCAGGACUGGACUCCUCACAUUCUGAGAUGGAGAUGGGCACAGCUGCACUUGGCCCCGUACUGGCUCUGGGCGGACAGAAGAGCCGUGUGUGGAGCAGGGCUAGAGCUGCAUGGUGCCAGAUCAUGGCCCAGCAUGGCGCACGGCCUGCCCUGGCAAGCAGCACUGCUGGCAGGACUGCCCAGAUGGACUGGUUUCAGGGCACUGCAGAACGAGGCCCCGGAGCUUCACCUUGGGGCUGGCAAAUGCCUUCAGUAGGUCUCCAGCACCCCCUGCACAGUGGGAUGCAUGGUGUAGGGAUGCAUCUGACCCCUGGCCUGUGGUCCCAGGGACAGGGAAAUGAGGCCAGCAGAGCUCAGCGCUGCUUCAGAGAGGGACCAAUGCUUACAGCAUGACUGGCAUGCCAGGUGGGGGGGGAGCUCCACUGCAAACCCUGAGAAAUAGGGGUGAUGCCUGGGAAAAACUACAGAUGUGGAGGUCAUUUUAACCAAUAUUUGAGAUCAAAGGCCACAGAGUAAAUCUCCUAUAGAAAGAAUGCCUUUUAGAGAUAGAACAGAAAGAAUCCAGCAAUUAUACAGAUUUGGGAAAAUUGCGCGGCUCUCUGAGUAUGACAUCUAAUUUACAAUCUAGAUGGCAAGAGGACUUAUGGAAGGGAGACGAGGCAAAGAUGAAUUACAUUUGUAAUAUAUGUAUUAAGUUAAUGACUGGACUUGCAGAGAACUGCAUUUACAGAACAAAGCCUACAGAGAGAUGCUUAUAUCCCCAAUAUUUUACAAUAAUUUAGCAAGAUCAGAGUAGGAUACGAUUAUGACAUCUCCGAUGUCUGAC